ACUCCUACGGGAGGCAGCAGUAGGGAAUCUUCCGCAAUGGACGAAAGUCUGACGGAGCAACGCCGCGUGAGUGAUGAAGGCUUUCGGGUCGUAAAACUCUGUUGUUAGGGAAGAACAAGUGCUAGUUGAAUAAGCUGGCACCUUGACGGUACCUAACCAGAAAGCCACGGCUAACUACGUGCCAGCAGCCGCGGUAAUACGUAGGUGGCAAGCGUUAUCCGGAAUUAUUGGGCGUAAAGCGCGCGCAGGUGGUUUCUUAAGUCUGAUGUGAAAGCCCACGGCUCAACCGUGGAGGGUCAUUGGAAACUGGGAGACUUGAGUGCAGAAGAGGAAAGUGGAAUUCCAUGUGUAGCGGUGAAAUGCGUAGAGAUAUGGAGGAACACCAGUGGCGAAGGCGACUUUCUGGUCUGUAACUGACACUGAGGCGCGAAAGCGUGGGGAGCAAACAGGAUUAGGUACCCUGGUAGUCCACGCCGUAAACGAUGAGUGCUAAGUGUUAGAGGGUUUCCGCCCUUUAGUGCUGAAGUUAACGCAUUAAGCACUCCGCCUGGGGAGUACGGCCGCAAGGCUGAAACUCAAAGGAAUUGACGGGGGCCCCCACAAGCGGUGGAGCAUGUGG
rnacentral:rRNA from 1 species